rnacentral:snRNA from 1 species
GGAUGUGAGCACGAUCUGGCUGUGACAUCUGUCACCUCACUGAUCAGCAGAGUUGAUGUGGCUGAUCUGGCUGACUAGGCGGGUGUUCCCUCUUUCCCUCACCAGUCCAUGUGUGUCCCUCCCGAAGCUGCACGCUUGGUUGAAGUGGAUGACUGUCCCCAGUAGUGGAGGGCCGUUCUCUGGUCAAGGGCAUAUGAGUGGCUACACUCCCCUGCUAGAACCUCCAGACAAGCUCUCAGGGUCCGUUUGCAGGAGAGCGUCGGGUGGUCAGGUUUGCAAGACUCCAGAUACAUUCAAACACAGCCCUGCAUGGGACCGUGUGCCUUUCUUA